rnacentral:rRNA from 1 species
UACGUAGGGCGCAAGCGUUGUCCGGAAUUAUUGGGCGUAAAGAGCUCGUAGGCGGUUUGUCGCGUCUGCUGUGAAAACCUGAGGCUCAACCUCGGGCUUGCAGUGGGUACGGGCAGACUAGAGUGCGGUAGGGGUGACUGGAAUUCCUGGCGUAGCGGUGGAAUGCGCAGAUAUCAGGAGGAACACCGAUGGCGAAGGCAGGUCACUGGGCCGCAACUGACGCUGAGGAGCGAAAGCAUGGGGAGCGAACAGG